AUGCUCAUUUUUGCAGUACAUAUACUAACAUUGGAAUGAUACAGAGAUUAGCAUGGCCCCUGUGCAAGGAUGACAUACACAUUCAUGAAGCAUUCCAUAUUUAA